GAGGAGUGUCCGAGUGGUUUGUCGUCCGGUUCUUGAACAUAAGCAUAGUGAAGAUGACCGAGGGUUCGAAUCCCUCCU
rnacentral:tRNA from 1 species